rnacentral:rRNA from 1 species
GUAGGGAAUAUUGCGCAAUGGACGAAAGUCUGACGCAGCGACGCCGCGUGAGUGAUGAAGGCCUUAGGGUCGUAAAGCUCUGUUGAAUGGGAAGAAAAAAAUGACGGUACCAUUCGAGGAAGGACCGGCUAACUUCGUGCCAGCAGCCGCGGUAAUACGAGGGGUCCUAGCGUUGUUCGGAAUCAUUGGGCGUAAAGGGUGUGUAGGUGGCCAUGUAAGUCAGGUGUGAAAGCCCCGGGCUCGACCCGGGAAGUGCACUUGAUACUGCGUGGCUUGAGUACCGAAGAGGGUAGUGGAAUUCCAGGUGUAGUGGUGAAAUACGUAGAUAUCUGGAGGAACACCGGUGGCGAAGGCGGCUACCUGGUCGAGUACUGACACUGAGACACGAAAGCAUGGGGAUCAAACAGGAUUAGAAACCCCUGUAGUCC